UAACGUUUGUCAUCAAGAAGAAGGUAAGUUUGAGAUACGAUUUGCUGCUGCAUUUAGACCGUUAGAAGUACAAAACCGGGUGUGGACUCGUUGGAAUGGAUAAUGAUGGCUUCUGCAGGCAGUAGUAUUAAUGAGUUUAUUUUACAAUUAAAGAAGAUAUAUUAGUACUUACAUUGAUCAUGGAUUCGUAUGUCGUGGACCCAUUGCCAAUGGUACCACCUUCAUUCAGCUAAAGAAAGUCAACAACGUGAUAAAGUUUUGAUGACAUGUGCAAAAAAAUUUCUUUUUUUUUUUUUUUUGGGUAUGAAUCAAGAAAUCCACGGACUUACGAGUUGUACAGGUAUGUUUGGAUAAUAGAUUGUUUUGGAUAAAUUUUUGAAAAAAAAUUAUAGUACUAAUUUUUUAUUCGAUGCAGAUGAAAUAAAAAAAUAAUAAAAAAAUAUAUUGAAAUUGCCAGUUGCAGAGGCCCCGUACUAGGUCUAGACACGUGGCAGCCCAGGUAUAGCCGAGUUGGGCUCCGGCCCUAGGUUCCUGGUGACCGUCCUGGGCCGCACCCCCGCUAGGGCUCCAAGGGGAUCAGGAGACCGUCCCGCAGAGGUCGGAGGAGAUCCCGCUCGGCGCGGGAUUGAGAUUAUAUCAGGAAGGUCCCGGAACGUACGGAGGUCGGACUCUGACCCAGGUAUAAAUAGUGCUACACACCCAUUGCCCAAGGUACGCUCACUCCUGAUGCUCAAUACACUCUGACUACGUUACUUCCCGUGAACACUGCUCGCCGGAAAACUAAUUUGACCGUCGGAGUGCCCUCGGGGCCUCCUUUGUGAGAUCACUUCUUUCUGUUUUGCAGGCUUGGGACGAGCUCUUCCACCAGCACUUCGAGCUUAUCAGGUCAGCUCGGUCAGGGGAAGUUCCGUGCUUCUUCAGUUGGCGCCGUCUGUGGGAAACGCAAGGUAAUUAUUGUUGUGUUGAUGGCAAGAACACGAUCCAAGCGAACCGUUGAGAGCACCGGCCCGAGAGCCAGGGAGGGAUCCCGGCGAGCGGAGACCGAGGCGGCCGGGGGCUCGAGGAGCUCGGCCCUCUCAGGGGAGCGAAGACAGCAGAUCCUCCAGUUCGUGACGGAGAACCUCUCGAUGCUAGAGGACCUAAUCCGGCAAGCGAAGGAGAAAGAGGGGGCUGGAAGCGCGCAAACUUCCAAGGCUAAGGGGAAAGAGAAGGAGUUGUCCCCUGACCCUUCGGAGGAUGAGUCACGGGAUCAGCCCCCCAGGAGGAAACGGUCGCGGACUCCACCUCGUCCGCGACCCUCGGUGGUCGGGGACAGUGAAAGGUACUCCCGUGACAGGUCCGCGGGGAGCCGGUUGAGGGACCCCUCUCCGAGGAAGCCUGUGCGGAAUGGGCUUGACCGCUCUUCCGCCCGGUCUGUCAAGAGCCGACCACGGGACCCCCCUCAGCGGAAACCCGUUCAAGACGAGCUUGAACAGAUCCUGCGGCCGCGUUUGUACGAGGACGACUACGCUAUUUCGCCCUUUACCCGAGAGAUAGAGGACUACCCACUACUCCGGAUGUUCAAGAUUCCGAGCAUCGAGAUGUACGAUGCCUUUACAGACCCGGAAGACCAUCUCUCGGUCUUCCUGACGCACAUGCUUCUGCAAACCGCCGCGGACGAAAUUCGCUGCAAAACUUUCCCUAUGUUCCUGAAGGGGAAAGCACAGCUCUGGUUCCAAGGAUUGGCGCGGGGGUCUAUACGGAAUUUUCCCGAGUUGGCUCGGCAGUUCGCAGCCCAAUUCGUCUCCUCGAAGACCUACGCGAAGAACGCGACCCACCUGAUGUCCAUCAAGCAAAGGCCCGACGUGUCGCUGAGGAAUUUCAUGACCCGUUUCAACGCGGAGAGCUUGCAGGUCAGGGACAAAGACGAAAAAGUGGUAAUGGCCGCCUUCACGAACGGGUUCAGGAUAGAGGAGCUCUUCUAUGAUUUGGCCGAGCAGCCUCCCAAAAAUUUGGAGCAGCUCCUGACAAGGGCGCACGCGACUGUCAACGCAGAGGAGGCAGCUCGCCUGAAGAAAAAGUCAGAUCGGGGUCUCGGAGAGCGGAGAGGACGGAAAAACCCCCCAUGAGGUCCGCAAACGGCUUGAAAUUGCGAAAUUUGAGAGUGCGAUACUCGACCCCAAGAGGUCGCCACGCCUGUUAAAGACGGGGGGCUUGACGCUCAACCCAAGAGAUCGGCAUGACCGUCUUGAAGGUGUGAUGCUCGACCCCAAGAGGUCGGCACGCCGUGACUUACUUUGAGGCAGUUUGUCAAAACCAGGGAGCACGCUGGCUCGGCCCAGGAGGUCGGCACGAUUGCCCUGAGAAUGUAAUGUUCGACCCAGGAGGUCGGCAUGACUGCCUGGAAAAUGUGAUGCUCGACCCCAAGAGGUCGGCACGUCUGCUAAAAUCAGGGAGUUCAACGCUCGACCCAAGAGGUCGGCAUAACUGCCCUGGAAAUGUGAUGCUCGACCCCAAGAGGUUAGCAUAUUCGCUAAAAUCAGAGUUCGACGCUCGACCCGGGAGGUCGGCGUGACUGCCUUCAAAGUAUGAUAUUCGGCCACGAGAGGUCGGCACGGCUUGAAAUUUUGAAGUCGGAAAGUGCGAUGUUCGGCCCCAAGAGGUCGGCACGUUGUGCCUUAACUUGAAUGAGUUUGUUUGACCCAGGAGGUCGGCAAGGCUCAAAUCUUUAAAAAUCGGGGGCUUAAACCAUGUCAGUGACAAUUUGAUGCUCGGUCCCAUGAGGUCGGCACGCAUUGAUCAAGUUUGUCGAAACUUGGGAGUUUGACGCUCGACCCAAGAGAUCGGCACGGUUUUCUCAGUGACAGCACUGUACCAGAGGUGACCGGGGCAGAGCAGUGCGCGACGCUGGUCUCCUACGUGGCAGAGUAUAGAUUAGAUCUGCCUGGAAGCCUUACCUAAUCUAGGGGGCUAGUGCAGAGGUCCCGUAUUGGACCUAGACACGUGGCAGCUCAGGUAUAGUCGAACUGGGCUCCGGCCCCAGGCUCCUGGCGACCGCCUUGGGCCGCACCCCUGCUAGGGCUCCAGGGGGAUCAGGAGACCGUCCCGCAGAGGUCGGAGGAGAUCCCGCUCGGCGCGGGAUUGAGAUUAUAUCAGGAAGGUCCCGGAACGUACGGAGGUCGGACUCUGGCCCAGGUAUAAAUAGUGCUACACAUCCAUUGUCUAAGGUACGCUCACUCCUGAUGCUCAAUACACUCUGACUACGUUACUUCCCGUGAACACUGCUCGACGGAAAAUUAACUUGACCGUCGGAGUGCCCUCGGGAACCACCUCGGGGCCUCCUUUGUGAGAUCACUUCUUUCUGUUUUGCAGGCUUGGGACGAGCUCUUCCAUCAGCACUCCGAGCUUAUCAGGUCAGCUCGGUCAGGGGAAGUUCCGUGCUUCUUCACCAGUAAAUAAAUUUUGAUAAAUAAUUUCUAUCGAAACAAAAUUAUAAAGUAGGCUGAGCAUGUUGACAAAAAUGAAUAGACCCUGGUGUGUCGUAUUGAGGUUGAGAGGGUAGAAUGAAAAUCCUGUGCUAAGGGUGGGUGCAUUUGAGUCGAGCUCAACUCAAGAUAAAAUAAUUGAGUUUGAGUUUAAACUCGUCGAGCUUUUAGAAGUUGAGCUCAAGUUCGGACUUGACUUUAGCUUGCCCUGCGCUCGAACUCAAGAUUAAUUAAAUGUAAUCGAGUUAAAUCAAGCUACCUGGUUCAGUCCCAAAAUCUAUAGAUUGGAGCUGGGUAGUCGGAGUCCUCCGCCUACUACUUUAAGUAAGCCCAUCCACUGUUCCUCUGAUAGUGGAACUUGGAACCGAACAAAAACCUCUGCACCUCUUGGUUCCGUUUGUACGGA
rnacentral:lncRNA from 1 species